AAUUGAAAACAAAGGAAUUCAUAGAGCAUACAAAAUAUAUAUAUAUAUAUAUAUACAGUCCCCUUCUAUUGAGGGAUUCUUCAAAUAAUUUUAUUUGAGGGACGCCCUUUAGGGUACCCUACAAUUUUUUUCCCAAUGAUCCAAAUCAUUUAUUUUUUAGGUCUUCAUUUAUAGAUCAUCCUUACAAAAAAUUAGACAAAUCGGAAACCGUUUCGACAUCCAAUUGUAUCUUACAAAAUCAAUGAACACAGUGCUUCAAGAAAAUGCUAAAAUUUCAAUAACUUAAUUGAGUGGUCAAAUGAUAUCGGAUUCAAGUGAUUUUUUGUAGAGAUGAUCUUUAAAUGAGUAUCUACAAAAUAGACGGUUUGGAUUAGUGAAAUACACUCUGGAAUAGGGCCUACAAGGGGUGUCCCUCAAAUAAGCUUAUUUGAGGGAUCCCUCAAUGGAAGCUCUCUAUAUAUAUAUAUAUAUAUAUAUAUAUAUAUAUAUAUAUAUAUGACUUGGUAGGUUUCAGACUCGAUCAGGGACACGAGAUUUCCUCAGGCGUGUCAUAUGGGCCAGCAAUUUUUGGUAGUCAGGAAGGUUGUCUUUGAUCACAGGAACUUGCUUGAAAUUCUGAACCCAUGCAUGCAGCCGAGGCAAAGUGCUUGCCUCCAGAACCUUGACACCAACCAUUUCUUCAGUGGCCUCAAACCAGUGAGGCAACCAACCAUGUGUUAUGUCUACCAAGCUUAUAGUUUCACCCCCCAAAAAACUUCUUGUCUCCGAGGCCUUGCUCUUCCAAUAUUUUCAGGUUUUCCAAUACUGCUUGUAUUGUCUUUUCUCGCUCUUCCCCGGCAGUUAAUUCUAAGAGUGGACCAAAAAUGGGAGGCUAAAUUCAAAGUAUAUAAGCACUUGUAUUGAUAUUGUAAAGCAAAGUGAAUUUGUAGAAUAAAAGUAAAUUUAGAUUUUAGCUAAAAAAAACUUUCACUUUUGGACCAUAUAUGUGUGAGUCACAAUGAUCCAAUGUUACAUUUAUAAUGAGACCUAUUGCUAUGUUGAUGUACUUGACACCAGGUCUUGGGCCACACUAUUUUCAGGUCCAAUGGCAGAGUCCCCGCCCUCAGGGAACUCAGUCUCUUUUGUCUCUUUGCCAUAACAUUUUCAUUACGAACUACAAAGACAGAAAAGUGGGUCUUCUUAUUAGACACCAUUCAACCUUGAUCCAAUGUACAGAGAAUAUACUAUUUUUUUUACUCAAAACACAACACAAUUCAACAUACUUACAAUACUAACUAAACUUCUAAUAUAGUCAGUUAAUUGCUAAUACAAAAAACUGAAACACCCUUAGCAUCCAAUCACUUCUUCUCAGCCUUUUUGGCUGAUCGUGGCUAGAUCUAAGGCAAUUUCCUACUUUUGGCCCCCUGAUGGUUGUGUUCUUGAUAUUUUGGGCACUGGGUGUAGAUCUCCUUUGAUCUAUCUUCUGUGGAGGUGGAGUUGAAGCAUCUGGUGGGAUCUACUAUCUUAUGGUGGUGUGGGAUCGUGUGUGGUGCUGGUGAUGCCGUGACUUUUACUUAAAGGUCAAGGUGGAAUUUGAGUGGUACUAUAUGGUGUUUCCAGUUCCAAAAAUGGAUGAGAGUUGGUUCUUUGACAUGAUAUCCCAUCCCAGCAUUGGUGCAUCACUCAAACAUAUGUUCAUAGACUGUCUCAAAAAUUGAACUAUAACAAACAGAAAGAAAAAAAAAAAAAGCAGAUGAUACAAAAAGUGAUGAAAUGAAAAUGGAAACUACGCACCUGAUACACAUAAAAUUGGAUCCAAAACCGCGCGGAGGCUCUUUCGUGAGCAUCUUGAGGCAGCAGACGAUAAUUCCCCGGCCAAGUUUCUUCGAUGUAUUCAAGGAUGACAGAGGACUCGGCAAUCGGCUUGCCACGAUGAACAAGCACCGGGACCUUCUUGUGAACUGGGUUGAGCUGCAAAAGCAAUUCACUCUUGUUUGAAAGGUCUUCUUCUAUGUACUCAUAUUUCACACCCUUGAGCUUUAGAGCCCAUAUCACUCUGUAAACAUAUGGGCUUGGCCAAAACCCUAUUAGCUUCACUUCUUCUUCCAUUGUUGACGUGUUGAGGUCAAGACAGGAGGCUCAUAGUCAUAGCAGUCUAAAUUUUGGUUGCUGAUAUAAUAAUGUCUGAAUUUUGACUUGGCUUUAGUGGUAGCUUGUAACUUUUGUAAGUAAGACAAAAUGAAAAUUCUCGAUCUUCAUUGCUCGCUGAUUACGUUACAAGAAAAUUCUUCUCUAAGAGCAUUUCCACCAGUUGCCUCUUGCCAUGGCAAGAUUAGCCCUAGGGCAGGCACUAUUCAUGUGAAUAGUGGCUGCCCUAGCCCCCUUCAGCAAAAUGUGUUUCCAGCAGUUGGGGCUUGACAUGACAAAUACUAUUCAUUUUUUGUUUUUUUCACAACUUUGUUUACUUAAACAAUUAAUUUGGAUAAUAUUUUCGGAUAAGAUUUUUGGGUUCCUACGUGUCAAUACUAUUCAUAUCGGAUAAGAUUUUCGGUUUCAAAUUUCAGAUAAAUUUCAAAUUUCAGAUACAUUUCAAAAUUCAAAUUUCAGAUAAAUUCAAAAUGUCAAAUUUCAGAUACAUUUCGAAAUUCAAAUUUCAGAUAAAUUUGAAUUUUGAAAUUUCAUUUGAAUUUCAAAUUUCAGAUAAAAUUUUCACCCUCUAAGAUUGCGCCGCAUGUCAUAUCUAUCUGUGUACAUUUUUCUAUAAAAUCAGAGGUUCAGCUCAUACCUCCCACACCAGUUCUUCUCUACAUUUCCAUUUCUCAAAUUUUAGAUUUCAUUCUCCAUUCUCAAUGGCAGACAUGGAAGAGGUUUUGGAGAGGCAAGAGCGAGAAACUAGAGAAAGAAUGCGUAGACGAGCUGCAAGCAAAAGGGCGCAGAGAGAACUAGAUGAGCAACUUGGCAUAGCAGUUGCUUUGCUGGAGGAAGAAAAGCAGGCUCGCCGUGGUUCACGAGAAGGCCGUCGCCCAAAUGUGGACAGACAUAGACAUUCCCGGGGUAAGAAUCUUAUGGAAGAUUAUUUUAUCCCACAAUCUCUGUACUCUGAUGUUCAUUUUCGAGGGAGAUAUAGAAUGCAACCCCAUUUGUUCAAAAAAAUCAUGCAACUAAUAAACAUGUUUUUAUUUUAUUAUGUUUAUGUUGUAUGUUGUUUAUUUUUUGUUGUGAGUGGGUUGUUUAUGUUUUAUGCUUUGGUUGUGGGUUGUUUAUUUUUUAUGCUUUGGUUGUGGUUUGUUUUUUAUGUAUGGAAUGUUUUGAAUAAAAAGGAUUUUUGUUGAAUAUUUUCUUCAUUUAACCAAUCCGUGUUGCUAGGUCUAUCGUCACGAAAAAGUCUUCGUCUCAUAACAUCCCUUCGUUCUAGCUUCCAAAAUUGUUUUGUUUCAAGGGACAUAUGGCUUGUAUCCAUGGCCAUGGUUUCCCGAUCUUUUUUUUCAAUGUUUUGUUCGCGUACAUACUCCAUUUCGUUGCGUACAUACUCCCUUUCUUUUGCAUAUUCUACUUGAAUAGCCAAAUCGUGCUCUUGUUGUUUCAAGUCCAUUUCAAUUCUCAUGGCUUGGUGCUUUGAAAGUUCCUCCAAAAAUUGAGAUGUAUUCUUGCUAGAAUUACUCCCUCUCUUCGCCUUCGCCGCCUUCCUCCCAAUAGGCCUUGGAUUAUUUUCAAUGGGUGACUCGGUACUCAUCGGGGAAUUCAUAGGUGAAUCCGAUGCCAGCGUCUCAUGAAGUGGAGUCUCGUUCAAGACUACCGUCGGACCGGUUGGAAUAAUUUGGAAUCUCUUACAAGUCUUCACCACCUCCCAACAAUGGGUAUGGUUGAAACUUUUUUUCCGUUGACCAGUAGCACCAAACCACAUUUGUGCUUGUAUAAUCUAUAAAAAAAAAUGAAAUGGAAAUGCAAGAGAAUUUUUAAAAUAUUGGCAAUGCAACAUGUAAAAAAAACUAAUGGAAAUUAAAGAAAUAAUAAAAAAAUGCAACAUGUAUUAAAAAAACUAGAGACAUAUUAACAGAAUAUAUAAAUUGCAAGAAACAUUUAAAUAAAAAUUAAUAUGACAUAGAAAUUAAUAGAAGAAAAAUGACAAAUAAUUUACCUCACUGCUAAGAUUUUCUCUGCUUCGAUGGUUGUCAAUCGCUUUUGCUAAGGCAUUUCUCCAUUUCCCCAACUCUUUAUUAAGAACUUUCCACCUACUGGAUAAUGUCAUUUCUGUACGUGUAGAACCAAUUGCCCUUUCACAAAAUGCUUGAUGAAUUUUUUUCCACAUAUGAGAAAAUUUAAUCUCAUUGCCCGUUACGGGACAAUGACUAACUUGGACCCAAGCCUCACACAAGCUAACAGCUUCCAUCAUGCUCCAUGCCCCUCUAUUUUCAUUAGAAGAACCCAUAAUAUGCUAGAAAAAAAUUACAACUUCAAAGUGAAAAAAUAUUGAAUAGAAAGUGAAUAAAUUUUGAGGAGAAAGUGAACAAUAGUAGAAGGAGAAGAAAAUAUAUGAGGAUUUGGUGUUAAAAAUGAAGAGUAUUGGUUGGUAUUUAUACACAAAAAAUUCUGUAAUUUUUGUGUAUUUUUUUUAAAAAAAUUCGAUUUUUUUUCAAUUUUUUAUUAUAGAAAAAUUGGCUGCCGUUGGAUUGAAGAAAAAAUUCCAAUCGGAGCGACCAGAGGUUGCCAAGUGUCAAGUACCCGUUGACGGCCACUGUAGCGGUGAUUUGAAAUUUUUUUUAACGUUGGCGCUUGCAAUGCACGCGCCAACGGUAAAAAAAAUUCAAAACCUCCAGGGCUGACGCCAGCAUGGCGUCAGCAAUUUUGUCCGCGCCCUCGGGCCUGAACUCGGGCCAAAAUCGCCUUCUGGCCUGCCCGUUUUGGUGGCCCCCAUGCUCGCCCGGACUGAGUCUUGGUUGCUGGACUUUGUUUUUUUGCCCAAACCCCCCCCAGCCCGAGUCCAACAGCACUGCUGGACUUGCUCUAAUAGAUGUUGACAGAAACCACUUGUUUCAAAUAGGACAAAACAAAGCCCUUCAAAUUUCAAACCUCCCAAUUUUAUUUUAUUUAGAAAAAAUGUGAUUCCUAUGGAGCUUGUACAUGUCAGUAGGUGGAAUUUACAUAAAGUUAGUCAGUCCUGAUUUCGAAUAUCUGUGUGUGACUUGGAAAGGAUAGAAAAAGAAAACUUAUUUACAUUAAUGCCCUUUAAGAUUUUUGGUAUUUUCACAAAAUUUUAGUAGGUUUUGAAAAUUACACUAGGAUUUCUUGAGGUUUCAAAUUAUUUUUACAAAGCCCUUUUGUUAUUUUUCCCUCCAAAAUUGCUAAUGGCAUAAAAAAAAUUUCUUCAAAUAAGAAAAGUAAUAACUUCAAUACCAUUUUUUUUUCCUUUUGUUUGGGCUCGCUCUCUGGCUAGCGAGGAGAGCCGUGCUAUAUAUUAGGGUUAGGUUCUCUUUUGUGUUCUACCAUCGUUGUCGCUUUAAUCUUGGAAGUGUUGGCCUCGCUUCUGUCUCUCUUUGUUCCCAAGCGAUAGCUUUUCCUUUGCUCGUCGUCUUUCCCUCUUGGUUUAGAGGUAAUCAUGUUUUGUCGAUUUGGGGUUCACGGCUAGGGUGCCCUAGAGUCGUCACUGCGGUCGUUGUUCACAGCUAGGGCUCUUUGCCCUAACAUCGUCACUUCAUCCUUUGGAUUGCCCUUGGGUCUAUUGUUGGGUCUUAUUUGCCUUAGUGUCGCAGCUAUUUUGUUUAACGCAGCUCCACUCCACCCUCUCGAUUGAAUCUUGGCUUUUGUGUGGUCGUGUGGGUCUGCAGCCUUCGUGAUGGCUUGGUGGUGAGGGUUGCGAUAAGGAAGUUUUGCGAGGUGCUGGUGGUGCACACUCAGAGUUUACAGGUGGUUGGCUUCUAGGCUUUUCUUGGGUAGUAUGGAUCUGGUGCGUUCUAGGAUCCUCUAUGUUAUAGCGUAAGUCCAAAUUUAUGGAUUUAUCUUAUCAAAUUUGAAUCAAGGGAUCUCGAUUAACAGCAAGGGGCCUGUAGCUCAAGUAGCAGUAACCUUUACAACUAAGAACAUGUGUUUGAAUCCCCCACCCCUCAUUAUCACUUAUGUCACAAAACAAAACAAAACAAAACAAAAAAUUGAUAUUAUAAAUAAACCAAACAUUAUUAUUAUUUAUUUGACCGCCAUAUAGAAACCUUUGGCUAGGGUACACUACUUCAUAAUUUUCUGAUUUUUUUAAUAAGAAAAAAUAAAAUUACAACCCAAACCCUUUUGGGCAAGCAGGUCCAAAGAGGUUGAAAUAAAAAGCAUUUACUAGAUAAAGGGGAACUCAAUUUCCCAUAAGUGUAAUUUUCUGAUGAUGUGAUGCAUGAUGAACUUUAGUUAAAAAUUUGUUUUAUGACAUUGCUUCAUCAUGAUAAACAUUGGUCCAUACUGAGCAUACAAAUUGAAAACAAAGGAAUUCAUAGAGCAUACAAUAUAUAUAUAUAUAUAUAUAUAUAUAUAUAUAUAUGACUUGGUAGGUUUCAGACUUGAUCAGGGACACGAGAUUUCCUCAGGCGUGUCAUAUGGGCCAGCAAUUUUUGGUAGUCAGGAAGGUUGUCUUUGAUCACAGGAACUUGCUUGAAAUUCUGAACCCAUGCAUGCAGCCGAGGCAAAGUGCUUGCCUCCAGAACCUUGACACCAACCAUUUCUUCAAUGGCCUCAAACCAGUGAGGCACCCAACCAUGUGUUAUGUCUACUAAGCUUAUAGUUUCACCCCCAAAAAACUUAUUGUCUCCUAGGCCUUGCUCUUCCAAUAUUUUCAGGGUUUCCAAUACUGCUUUUAUUGUCUUUUCUCCCUCUGCCCCGGCAGUUAAUUCGAAGAAUGCACCAAAAAUGGGAGCCUGAUAAAUAAAUUCAAAGUAC
rnacentral:lncRNA from 1 species